CUUUUUGGAGCCCUGAAACUAACACUUUAAAGGAGGAGGGUUUAUCUUAAACUAUGGACAUUUGUCUGAACAUAGGGCAUGAGCAGCAUUCAGGAGCUUAGUACAGCAUGUGCAGAACAGAAUAAGUCCUAAUGGGCCUUUCGAUAUGUCCAGUUUCAAUACCUUUCUUGAAUGACAUCUAAGCACCUUGCAGCACCCCUGUGCAGCAAGGCAGCCCAAUUUUCCCAUUGUGUAGAUGACAAGACAGGUACAGAGAGAGCAAAUUACUUGCCCAAAAUCCCACAGAAACACUGGAAAGGAUAAUCCACCCUUUCCUACUCCUGGUAGAUAAAUCCUUCAAACAGUACCUCUCUGUUCUGCUUGAUUAAUGUGUUUUUUUUUUCUCCAACUGAAGAAGUUGUUUCUAGGAAGUCUCCUGCCAUAUAGGAGUCUUUUAGUAUGGUGACAGCUUUGAUAUCCUUGCUGGAGAAAGCGUUCCAGAAUUUACGGAAAAUCCUUGUCUGCUGGCAACACCUGGGUGAGACAAAGCAAUAUUCUGAACUAAAGUUAAAAGUAGACCAAAGCCUAAUGAAACCUGGAAAAGAGAGAGUGGGCAUCAAUAGAAGAAGGAUCCGUAAUGUUUUUGACAGUAUUUUUAAGGAGUGUGUGCUAAGAUGAGCCCAUAACUCCUGACAGAACUGAAACUACUGAAAGUGACUGAAAGACAGACAGUAGUGUUUGAAAUCUGCCUGCCAAAGAAAGUGCAAAAGUUCACCUAGAAGUUCAAUGGGAAAGAGCUGAAGUGGGAUGAUAAAUAUGAAAUCAUCGCAUCUGAGGAUGGAUUGGCCCACGCUGUGAAAAUUAAGCGUUCUCUGUCUGUUCCAGUGACUUUAAAGAACUCAGUGUUAAGACUGGAGAUCUAGUGCAGAGCACUCCACUCUGCAUUUCUUAUGAUCAGUGAAAAGCAUCUUUAGGCAGUGGGUGAAUCAAAUGCAAGAUAGCAGCAUUUGAGCUGCAAAAUCCAUAAAGCUAAAACACAAAACCCCAGAGCUUGGGCUGAAAAAAAUGGAAGCCACAGUCUUAUAAAGCUAGUCUGUGGACAAGCAAGCAGAGGAGCAUCAAGACCUCAUUCUGACACUGGAAGUAAGGUCCCAAGCCUGGAAUCUCUCCUGCACAGGAGCUGAUAUAUCCUGCAAAGGCAAAGCCACCUGUUUUUAUUUAUAAGGUGCCUGCUGGUGUGUGCCAUUCUUUCUUGCCAGCCCUUUCCCCUUUCCCACGGGUUCCAAUUCAGUUUGUCAGCAAUCUCAAGAACACUCAAGUGAAAAAGAAGGGAGAAGCCUGCCUGGAGUGUGUGCUGAUUUCUGAAGAUGUCACUGUGAAGGGGGAUGUAGAAUGGGUGAGUGAUUGAGAGGUCUCCUCAGUACAUUAUGAAGCAUGAAGUGAAGAGAGCGGAGCUUAUCAUUAAUGCUGCUGAGCUAAGUGACUUGGGAGAAUGCGCACGGAUCGUAGGCUACGCAAGACAGUGACUGUAAUGAGCAGUACAGCAGUGCCAGUGUAACUGUGGAAGCAACCCAUGGGACAUUUGACUGUAGUCUGCUGAGGACCAGUAGCACAACAUGAGGCUGGCUGGAAGGGAGUGGUUUCCCAAUAGCACCCCCAGCCCUGGGCUUUCCAGGAGUGAAGCCUGGCAAGGAGUCCCUGGCCAGG